UCCAUCAUUUUUUGCUCUCUGUAAGUUGUUUUUAUUGUAUCGUAUAUAUCUGCUUUUAUUGACACAACAGUACCGGUGCCUGUUUGCCGUGGGUGAGCCUACAAGCAUCCGGUUUACAAUUUGGGUGGGUGAUGGAAUGGGGUCCUGCACACUUCAUCAUUGCAAAUGUAGGAUGUGGGUUGGCAGGUGCUUGAAUAAUGGAAACCAACUUGUAGGGAAGGUGUAGAUAAAACCAUCCGACCAAAGUAUCUAGAGUUAUAAAGAAAAGGGAACAAGUUUCGAAUUUUCAAGAAGAGAGGUCCUACGCGAGAUCGAGAAUUAAAUGAGAAGACUUCAUUGAAGAGGGUCAUUACGACUAAUGAAUUUGGGCAACCGAAUGCGGGGGAUACAAAUCAGAAUUUGCUAGUCCAAAGAGCAGGUUGGUCCAUUCAUCAAUUGGGCAAGAUCUGAAUAGACCCAAUGGAUGGUUUACCGGAAACGUAAAAUUAAUGAGACACAUGUUGAGGUUAUCUGGAGCAAAUAGGGAGUGAACUCUCUCAAAGUAAUUCAAACAAAGAAACCCCAAACUUACAAAACGCUUUGCCUCUCUGAACAAGCCAAAGAUCCCAGUUCUGUUGCUUGGUCAUGCAUCAUGACAUGCUCUGUGGUCUGCGCCAUGCAUCAUGCAUGCUUAAAAAAGGAGUGGAGCAUAGAGGAUUUAUUUGUUUAUUUUUCAUGUAUUCAGACCAUUGUAAACUUAUUGUUGUAAAUAUAUAUAAUUUUUAUUAUAAAGUUGUACAAUAAUUUUGGAGAAAC